rnacentral:tRNA from 1 species
GGGAAAGUGGCUCAGUGGCAGAGCGCUUGCCUUGCAUGCAUAAGGCCCUGGGUUCGAUUCCUCAGCACCA